UACGUAGGGGGCUAGCGUUGUCCGGAAUUAUUGGGCGUAAAGCGCGUGUAGGCGGUUCGAUUAGUCUGCUGUGAAAGUCGGGGGCUCAACCCUCGAAUGCCGGUGGAUACUGUCGGACUAGAGUACGGAAGAGGCGAGUGGAAUUCCUGGUGUAGCGGUGAAAUGCGCAGAUAUCAGGAAGAACACCCGUGGCGAAGGCGGCUCUCUGGAACGCAACUGACGCUGAGACGCGAAAGCCAGGGGAGCAAACGGG
rnacentral:rRNA from 1 species